CCGUCCCCGUAGCGGUACUCGUCUGUACGCCCAUUGGACAAAUACCUAAAAUUCAAUUAUCCUCGGUGAUACUUGAUAUUAGAACCUACUCUCUGAGCUGAACGAAGCCUGUCGCAAGCUCGUUUUCCUCUGAUAUGGUAGUCGUUCCCUAUAAUUUGAAUUCUAUAUAUAUUGGUAUCGGAUGCAUACGAACCAAACUGUUCUUUAUUAUGUUCUUAUAAAGACAUAACCUUGAAUUAAACUUAUGUAAUCUGAAUAAACUACAGAAACUUAUUUACAUACAAACCCUUAAAUGGGACUACUUGCUAUGACAAUAUUAAAUCUAUAAAGGGACUGCGUUCUCCUAUACUUUGUACAUUGAAAGAACUUCUGUUCGUGAAAUAGGAAUUGUGUGAUAGCUGGGUAGUAGCUUUUUACAUAGUUCCACCAUUGUCAGUGAUAGGCAAUUUCUUUAAUAAAGGGAAAGUUUGUUAGUGUUGCCAUCUUUGACAUUUUCUUUUAGAUUUAGGUUUAGAUAAGCGCGCAUUAGGAUUAAGGAGAUACGUAUCAAAAGUAGUAGUAGUAUUUGUCUGGUUGAAGCUGCAGAUUCACCAAGUCAUAGGUUUAAGGUUUAUCGUAAGGUUAGUAUUUCUUUACAGAUUAUCAGUGUUUUCUUAGUUAAGGUGUUUAUUUCGUGAUAGGCUUAGUUUAUAAAAAAAAAAAAAAAAAAAUUUUUUUCAAAAAUUUUUUUUUAACCCAACUAAAGAUGAACUGUAACACUUUGCAGUCUGCUCCAAGUGUUUUAAUUGGAGUUAAACGCUCAGUCUGUAGAUAUUUGGUAGGAGAAAUUGUUACAUGUUUAUUUGACGAAAACUUAGUAAUUAAUAUCUAUUUACCUCGGUUAUAUGGUAAAUACUUCUUGGGCAAGACUCAUUCUAUUCAUUUUAAACCUUUUUCAUUUGCUUUUAGCUAUAUUUCGAACAUAAAACUUACCUUGACGGUGAGAUAAAUCAUACAACUCAACAUUUGUACUCCUGCGCAUAUUUCUCGUUCCGGCAAAGAAUUAUAGCCCGGACACUCCGUUUGUCCGACGGCACUUAUAUUUGGUAUUGAAAUGGUUCCUCUCCACUAUUAGUUUUGGUUAAAAACACAAAAUUUGGGAACAAAUAAACAAACUACAUUUGGAGUUCAUAUCGACUUGACAGCAAUGACAAGUGACAUGUACGUUUGUAUCUGUAUUUCAAGAUGGCGGUCGAUGAAGUGUGGUAGCCACACUCGUUGGUAAAAUAACAUAAUCAUUGCCUUUAUGAACUUUCUAUUUGGAAAUGUUGUCCAUAUUUUUGGCUUUCUAAAUAUAUAAUUAUUUCCAUGUUUGAAAUUGAUGAAGUUUCUGGUUUUGUUAGUACAUUCAUUUGGUAAGAGCGAGUGUGUGUCGCGGGCAUACGUCAUUCGAUGCAUUCACUCAGAAAUGUGUCAGUCGGAAUGAACUUGCAUUUGUCGAGUCAUUUGCUCAUUUGCUGUUCAAUUGGAGAAUUGGAGACAUCUUGACAUUAAAGGUCGGUGCGUUCUGCCAAAAUGGAGGUGAGUAGCUUUGUCUGAAGAAAUCUAAACUCAGUUCUUUUUCUUUUUGUGUGAUUAGUGCGUAUAGUGAUAAAAUGUAUUCUUGUUACAGCGUGAUGUGUAAAACAAGGUGUUUUAAUCGCCCAACCCCGUUGUAGCAAGCGGGGAUUCAUUUUGUGAUUUCGUCGUACAUGUGGUAUGUAUUCUUGUGAAAUCAUUAUCGAUGUGGACGAGGGAACAUUUAGUUUGUUUAACAAGUGUCUAACUACGUUGUCGUAAACGAUUUCAGCUGCCCGUCUCGAGAAUGCCGAUCGAAGCCGAGGGGGAGAAGCACGUGUUCCCGGCGCUUCUAUAGAAACCGGGGAAAUAAACCCGUAAGUACAACUAGACACGGUUUUUGGACUUUCUGGAAUUUUUGGAAUUUCUGGACUUUCUAGUCAUGGCGGGAGUUACACAUCCCGUCGCAAGCCUUGAGCAGGGUGGCUAGUUCCCGGCUCAUAUCCUGGAGGCACUACAAGAUCUCGGAUGAAUAGUGUUUCGAGUUACGUAUGAGUACCAUAUAUUAGUAGUUGGGUUUGAUGGGAUCGAUACUACUCCCUGUACGAAAACGUACUAGUGAUAGCUGUUAAUUUAUACACCUGGUGGAGACGUUGUAGCAGCGUACUCCCAGAUGCCUGGUGACCGAGCGAGGUGACCCCUUAUUAUUAUUAUGUCUGGCCAACUUUAUGAAGUAGAUUAAGGCGAAUGUAAAGAAGGCAAUGUAUAUAUCCACCUAGUUAAGGGUUUCCAACCUCGCUCAUGUCUACGCCUGUAGUAAAUUAAUUAUUAUUUUAUAUUAAUAGCACAGACAAUAGUACCUUAAGCCUCUCUUAAAUUUAAUAUUGUAAUCGGUAUAACAAUUUCGUGUAUUUGCUAAGAAGAAGAAUACAGUGUAUAUUUUAAGUAA